rnacentral:lncRNA from 1 species
UGUUCUAGGGUAUAAUUAUGAAGAUUGCAUGCGUUCGUUGCGAAAAAAUCAACCCGAGUUUCGCUACCCGUAAAUAGUGCAUUCGGCUACCGAAAUGCACCCGUUUUGCAUCGUUUUUCGUGCUGUAACCGAAUGCUCAGAAACACUCCCAAACAUGUUCUAGGGUCUAAUUAGAAAGAUUGCACGCGUCCGUUGCGAAAAAUUCCACCCGAGUUUCGUUACCCUCGAAAUAGUGAAUUCGGGUGCCGAAAUGCACCCGUUUUGCAUUGAUUUUCGUGCCGAAACCGAACGCUCAAAAACACCACCAAACAUGUUCUAGGGUAUAAUUAGGAAUAUUGCAUGCGUUCGUUGCGAAAAAAUCCACCCGAGUUUCGCUACCCGGAAAUAGUGCAUUCGGGUGCCGAAAUGCACCCGUUUUGCAUCAUUUUUCGUUCCGGAACCGAAUGCUCAAAAACACUCCCAAACAUGUUCUAGGGUAUAAUUAUGAAGAUUGCAUGCGUUCGUUGCGAAAAAAUCCAAUCGAGUUUCGCUACACGGAAAAAGUGCAUUCGGGUGCCGAAAUGCACCCGUUUUGCAUCAUUUUUCGUUCCGGAACCGAAUGCUCAAAAACAUCUCCCAAACAUGUUUUAGGGUAUAAUUAGGAAGAUUGCAUGCGUUCGUUGCGAAAAAAUCCACCCGAGUUUCGCUACCCGGCAAUAGUGCAUUCGGGUGCCGAAAUGCACCCGUUUUGCAUCAUUUUUCGUUCCGGAACCGAAUGCUCAAAAACACUCCCAAACAUGUUCUAGGGUAUAAUUAUGAAGAUUGCAUGCGUUCGUUGCGAAAAAAUCCAAUCGAGUUUCGCUACACGGAAAAAGUGCAUUCGGGUGCCGAAAUGCACCCGUUUUGCAUCAUUUUUCGUUCCGGAACCGAAUGCUCAAAAACACUCCCAAACAUGUUUUAGGGUAUAAUUAGGAAGAUUGCAUGCGUUCGUUGCGAAAAAAUCCACCCGAGUUUCGCUACCCGGCAAUAUGCAUUCGGGUGCCGAAAUGCACCCGUUUUGCAUCAUUUUUCAUUCCGGAACCGAAUGCUCAAAAACACUCCCAAACAUGUUCUAGGGUAUAAUUAUGAAGAUUGCAUGCGUUCGUUGCGAAAAAAUCAACCCGAGUUUCGCUACCCGUAAAUAGUGCAUUCGGCUACCGAAAUGCACCCGUUUUGCAUCGUUUUUCGUUCCGGAACCGAAUGCUCAAAAACACUCCCAAACAUGUUUUAGGGUAUAAUUACGAAGAUUGCAUGCGUUCGUUGCGAAAAAAUCCACCCGAGUUUCGCUACCCGGCAAUAUGCAUUCGGGUGCCGAAAUGCACCCGUAUUGCAUCAUUUUUCGUUCCGGAACCGAAUGCUCAAAAGCACUCCCAAACAUGUUCUAGGGUAUAAUUAUGAAGAUUGCAUGCGUUCGUUGCGAAAAAAUCAACCCGAGUUUCGCUACCCGUAAAUAGUGCAUUCGGCUACCGAAAUGCACCCGUUUUGCAUCAUUUUUCGUUCCGGAACCGAAUGCUCAAAAACACUCCCAAACAUGUUGUAGGGUAUAAUUACGAAGAUUGCAUGCGUUCGUUGCGAAAAAAUCCACCCGAGUUUCGCUACCCGGCAAUAUGCAAUCGGGUGCCGAAAUGCACCCGUUUUGCAUCAUUUUUCGUUCCGGAACCGAAUGCUCAAAAACACUCCCAAACAUGUUCUAGGGUAUAAUUAUGAAGAUUGCAUGCGUUCGUUGCGAAAAAAUCCACCCGAGUUUCGCUACCCGGCAAUAUGCAUUCGGGUACCGAAAUGCACCCGUAUUGCAUCAUUUUUCGUUCCGGAACCGAAUGCUCAAAAACACUCCCAAACAUGUUCUAGGGUAUAAUUAUGAAGAUUGCAUGCGUUCGUUGCGAAAAAAUCAACCCGAGUUUCGCUACCCGUAAAUAGUGCAUUCGGCUACCGAAAUGCACCCGUUUUGCAUCAUUUUUCGUGCUGUAACCGAAUGCUCAGAAACACUCCCAAACAUGUUCUAGGGUCUAAUUAGAAAGAUUGCACGCGUCCGUUGCGAAAAAUUCCACCCGAGUUUCGUUACCCUCGAAAUAGUGAAUUCGGGUGCCGAAAUGCACCCGUUUUGCAUUGAUUUUCGUGCCGAAACCGAACGCUCAAAAACACUACCAAACAUGUUCUAGGGUAUAAUUAGGAAUAUUGCAUGCGUUCGUUGCGAAAAAAUCCACCCGAGUUUCGCUACCCCGGAAAUAGUGCAUUCGGGUGCCGAAAUGCACCCGUUUUGCAUCAUUUUUCGUUCCGGAACCGAAUGCUCAAAAACACUCCCAAACAUGUUCUAGGGUAUAAUUAUGAAGAUUGCAUGCGUUCGUUGCGAAAAAAUCCAAUCGAGUUUCGCUACACGGAAAAAGUGCAUUCGGGUGCCGAAAUGCACCCGUUUUGCAUCAUUUUUCGUUCCGGAACCGAAUGCUCAAAAACUCUCCCAAACAUGUUUUAGGGUAUAAUUAGGAAGAUUGCAUGCGUUCGUUGCGAAAAAAUCCACCCGAGUUUCGCUACCCGGCAAUAGUGCAUUCGGGUGCCGAAAUGCACCCGUUUUGCAUCAUUUUUCGUUCCGGAACCGAAUGCUCAAAAACACUCCCAAACAUGUUCUAGGGUAUAAUUAUGAAGAUUGCAUGCGUUCGUUGCGAAAAAAUCCAAUCGAGUUUCGCUACACGGAAAAAGUGCAUUCGGGUGCCGAAAUGCACCCGUUUUGCAUCAUUUUUCGUUCCGGAACCGAAUGCUCAAAAACACUCCCAAACAUGUUUUAGGGUAUAAUUAGGAAGAUUGCAUGCGUUCGUUGCGAAAAAAUCCACCCGAGUUUCGCUACCCGGCAAUAUGCAUUCGGGUGCCGAAAUGCACCCGUUUUGCAUCAUUUUUCGUUCCGGAACCGAAUGCUCAAAAACACUCCCAAACAUGUUCUAGGGUAUAAUUAUGAAGAUUGCAUGCGUUCGUUGCGAAAAAAUCAACCCGAGUUUCGCUACCCGUAAAUAGUGCAUUCGGCUACCGAAAUGCACCCGUUUUGCAUCGUUUUUCGUUCCGGAACCGAAUGCUCAAAAACACUCCCAAACAUGUUUUAGGGUAUAAUUACGAAGAUUGCAUGCGUUCGUUGCGAAAAAAUCCACCCGAGUUUCGCUACCCGGCAAUAUGCAUUCGGGUGCCGAAAUGCACCCGUUUUGCAUCAUUUUUCAUUCCGGAACCGAAUGCUCAAAAACACUCCCAAACAUGUUCUAGGGUAUAAUUAUGAAGAUUGCAUGCGUUCGUUGCGAAAAAAUCAACCCGAGUUUCGCUACCCGUAAAUAGUGCAUUCGGCUACCGAAAUGCACCCGUUUUGCAUCGUUUUUCGUUCCGGAACCGAAUGCUCAAAAACACUCCCAAACAUGUUUUAGGGUAUAAUUACGAAGAUUGCAUGCGUUCGUUGCGAAAAAAUCCACCCGAGUUUCGCUACCCGGCAAUAUGCAUUCGGGUGCCGAAAUGCACCCGUAUUGCAUCAUUUUUCGUUCCGGAACCGAAUGCUCAAAAGCACUCCCAAACAUGUUCUAGGGUAUAAUUAUGAAGAUUGCAUGCGUUCGUUGCGAAAAAAUCAACCCGAGUUUCGCUACCCGUAAAUAGUGCAUUCGGCUACCGAAAUGCACCCGUUUUGCAUCGUUUUUCGUGCUGUAACCGAAUGCUCAGAAACACUCCCAAACAUGUUCUAGGGUCUAAUUAGAAAGAUUGCACGCGUUCGUUGCGAAAAAAUCCACCCGAGUUUCGCUACCCGGCAAUAUGCAAUCGGGUGCCGAAAUGCACCCGUUUUGCAUCAUUUUUCGUUCCGGAACCGAAUGCUCAAAAACACUCCCAAACAUAUUCUAGGGUAUAAUUAUGAAGAUUGCAUGCGUUCGUUGCGAAAAAAUCCACCCGAGUUUCGCUACCCGGCAAUAUGCAUUCGGGUACCGAAAUGCACCCGUAUUGCAUCAUUUUUCGUUCCGGAACCGAAUGCUCAAAAACACUCCCAAACAUGUUCUAGGGUAUAAUUAUGAAGAUUGCAUGCGUUCGUUGCGAAAAAAUCCACCCGAGUUUCGCUACACGGAAAAAGUGCAUUCGGGUGCCGAAAUGCACCCGUUUUGCAUCAUUUUUCGUUCCGGAACCGAAUGCUCAAAAACACUCCCAAACAUGUUUUAGGGUAUAAUUAGGAAGAUUGCAUGCGUUCGUUGCGAAAAAAUCCACUCGAGUUUCGCUACCCGGCAAUAUGCAAUCGGGUGCCGAAAUGCACCCGUUUUGCAUCAUUUUUCGUUCCGGAACCGAAUGCUCAAAAACACUCCCAAACAUGUUCUAGGGUAUAAUUAGGAAGAUUGCAUGCGUUCGUUGCGAAAAAAUCCACCCGAGUUUCGCUACCCGGCAAUAUGCAAUCGGGUGCCGAAAUGCACCCGUUUUGCAUCAUUUUUCGUUCCGGAACCGAAUGCUCAAAAACACUCCCAAACAUGUUCUAGGGUAUAAUUAUGAAGAUUGCAUGCGUUCGUUGCGAAAAAAUCCACCCGAGUUUCGCUACCCGGCAAUAUGCAUUCGGGUACCGAAAUGCACCCGUAUUGCAUCAUUUUUCGUUCCGGAACCGAAUGCUCAAAAACACUACCAAACAUGUUCUAGGGUAUAAUUAUGAAGAUUGCAUGCGUUCGUUGCGAAAAAAUCUAAUCGAGUUUCGCUACACGGAAAAAGUGCAUUCGGGUGCCGAAAUGCACCCGUUUUGCAUCAUUUUUCAUUCCGGAACCGAAUGCUCAAAAACACUCCCAAACAUGUUCUAGGGUAUAAUUAUGAAGAUUGCAUGCGUUCGUUGCGAAAAAAUCCACCCGAGUUUCGCUACACGGAAAAAGUGCAUUCGGGUGCCGAAAUGCACCCGUUUUGCAUCAUUUUUCGUUCCGGAACCGAAUGCUCAAAAACACUCCCAAACAUGUUUUAGGGUAUAAUUAGGAAGAUUGCAUGCGUUCGUUGCGAAAAAAUCCACUCGAGUUUCGCUACCCGGCAAUAUGCAUUCGGGUGCCGAAAUGCACCCGUUUUGCAUCAUUUUUCAUUCCGGAACCGAAUGCUCAAAAACACUCCCAAACAUGUUCUAGGGUAUAAUUAUGAAGAUUGCAUGCGUUCGUUGCGAAAAAAUCCACCCGAGUUUCGCUACCCGGCAAUAUGCAUUCGGGUACCGAAAUGCACCCGUAUUGCAUCAUUUUUCGUUCCGGAACCGAAUGCUCAAAAACACUACCAAACAUGUUCUAGGGUAUAAUUAUGAAGAUUGCAUGCGUUCGUUGCGAAAAAAUCAACCCGAGUUUCGCUACCCGUAAAUAGUGCAUUCGGCUACCGAAAUGCACCCGUUUUGCAUCGUUUUUCGUUCCGGAACCGAAUGCUCAAAAACACUCCCAAACAUGUUUUAGGGUAUAAUUACGAAGAUUGCAUGCGUUCGUUGCGAAAAAAUCCACCCGAGUUUCGCUACCCGGCAAUAUGCAUUCGGGUGCCGAAAUGCACCCGUUUUGCAUCAUUUUUCAUUCCGGAACCGAAUGCUCAAAAACACUCCCAAACAUGUUCUAGGGUAUAAUUAUGAAGAUUGCAUGCGUUCGUUGCGAAAAAAUCAACCCGAGUUUCGCUACCCGUAAAUAGUGCAUUCGGCUACCGAAAUGCACCCGUUUUGCAUCGUUUUUCGUUCCGGAACCGAAUGCUCAAAAACACUCCCAAACAUGUUUUAGGGUAUAAUUACGAAGAUUGCAUGCGUUCGUUGCGAAAAAAUCCACCCGAGUUUCGCUACCCGGCAAUAUGCAUUCGGGUGCCGAAAUGCACCCGUAUUGCAUCAUUUUUCGUUCCGGAACCGAAUGCUCAAAAGCACUCCCAAACAUGUUCUAGGGUAUAAUUAUGAAGAUUGCAUGCGUUCGUUGCGAAAAAAUCAACCCGAGUUUCGCUACCCGUAAAUAGUGCAUUCGGCUACCGAAAUGCACCCGUUUUGCAUCGUUUUUCGUGCUGUAACCGAAUGCUCAGAAACACUCCCAAACAUGUUCUAGGGUCUAAUUAGAAAGAUUGCACGCGUUCGUUGCGAAAAAAUCCACCCGAGUUUCGCUACCCGGCAAUAUGCAAUCGGGUGCCGAAAUGCACCCGUUUUGCAUCAUUUUUCGUUCCGGAACCGAAUGCUCAAAAACACUCCCAAACAUAUUCUAGGGUAUAAUUAUGAAGAUUGCAUGCGUUCGUUGCGAAAAAAUCCACCCGAGUUUCGCUACCCGGCAAUAUGCAUUCGGGUACCGAAAUGCACCCGUAUUGCAUCAUUUUUCGUUCCGGAACCGAAUGCUCAAAAACACUCCCAAACAUGUUCUAGGGUAUAAUUAUGAAGAUUGCAUGCGUUCGUUGCGAAAAAAUCCACCCGAGUUUCGCUACACGGAAAAAGUGCAUUCGGGUGCCGAAAUGCACCCGUUUUGCAUCAUUUUUCGUUCCGGAACCGAAUGCUCAAAAACACUCCCAAACAUGUUUUAGGGUAUAAUUAGGAAGAUUGCAUGCGUUCGUUGCGAAAAAAUCCACUCGAGUUUCGCUACCCGGCAAUAUGCAAUCGGGUGCCGAAAUGCACCCGUUUUGCAUCAUUUUUCGUUCCGGAACCGAAUGCUCAAAAACACUCCCAAACAUGUUCUAGGGUAUAAUUAGGAAGAUUGCAUGCGUUCGUUGCGAAAAAAUCCACCCGAGUUUCGCUACCCGGCAAUAUGCAAUCGGGUGCCGAAAUGCACCCGUUUUGCAUCAUUUUUCGUUCCGGAACCGAAUGCUCAAAAACACUCCCAAACAUGUUCUAGGGUAUAAUUAUGAAGAUUGCAUGCGUUCGUUGCGAAAAAAUCCACCCGAGUUUCGCUACCCGGCAAUAUGCAUUCGGGUACCGAAAUGCACCCGUAUUGCAUCAUUUUUCGUUCCGGAACCGAAUGCUCAAAAACACUACCAAACAUGUUCUAGGGUAUAAUUAUGAAGAUUGCAUGCGUUCGUUGCGAAAAAAUCUAAUCGAGUUUCGCUACACGGAAAAAGUGCAUUCGGGUGCCGAAAUGCACCCGUUUUGCAUCAUUUUUCAUUCCGGAACCGAAUGCUCAAAAACACUCCCAAACAUGUUCUAGGGUAUAAUUAUGAAGAUUGCAUGCGUUCGUUGCGAAAAAAUCCACCCGAGUUUCGCUACACGGAAAAAGUGCAUUCGGGUGCCGAAAUGCACCCGUUUUGCAUCAUUUUUCGUUCCGGAACCGAAUGCUCAAAAACACUCCCAAACAUGUUUUAGGGUAUAAUUAGGAAGAUUGCAUGCGUUCGUUGCGAAAAAAUCCACUCGAGUUUCGCUACCCGGCAAUAUGCAUUCGGGUGCCGAAAUGCACCCGUUUUGCAUCAUUUUUCAUUCCGGAACCGAAUGCUCAAAAACACUCCCAAACAUGUUCUAGGGUAUAAUUAUGAAGAUUGCAUGCGUUCGUUGCGAAAAAAUCCACCCGAGUUUCGCUACCCGGCAAUAUGCAUUCGGGUACCGAAAUGCACCCGUAUUGCAUCAUUUUUCGUUCCGGAACCGAAUGCUCAAAAACACUACCAAACAUGUUCUAGGGUAUAAUUAUGAAGAUUGCAUGCGUUCGUUGCGAAAAAAUCCAAUCGAGUUUCGCUACACGGAAAAAGUGCAUUCGGGUGCCGAAAUGCACCCGUUUUGCAUCAUUUUUCGUUCCGGAACCGAAUGCUCAAAAACACUCCCAAACAUGUUCUAGGGUAUAAUUAUGAAGAUUGCAUGCGUUCGUUGCGAAAAAAUCCACCCGAGUUUCGCUACCCGGUAAUAUGCAUUCGGGUACCGAAAUGCACCCGUAUUGCAUCAUUUUUCGUUCCGGAACCGAAUGCUCAAAAACACUACCAAACAUGUUCUAGGGUAUAAUUAUGAAGAUUGCAUGCGUUCGUUGCGAAAAAAUCCAAUCGAGUUUCGCUACACGGAAAAAGUGCAUUCGGGUGCCGAAAUGCACCCGUUUUGCAUCAUUUUUCGUUCUGGAACCGAAUGCUCAAAAACACUCCCAAACAUGUUCUAGGGUAUAAUUAUGAAGAUUGCAUGUGUUCGUUGCGAAAAAAUCCACCCGAGUUUCGCUACCCGGCAAUAUGCAUUCGGGUACCGAAAUGCAACCGUAUUGCAUCAUUUUUCGUUCCGGAACCGAAUGCUCAAAAACACUCCCAAACAUGUUCUAGGGUAUAAUUAUGAAGAUUGCAUGCGUUCGUUGCGAAAAAAUCCAAUCGAGUUUCGCUACACGGAAAAAGUGCAUUCGGGUGCCGAAAUGCACCCGUUUUGCAUCAUUUUUCGUUCCGGAACCGAAUGCUCAAAAACACUCCCAAACAUGUUUUAGGGUAUAAUUAGGAAGAUUGCAUGCGUUCGUUGCGAAAAAAUCCACCCGAGUUUCGCUACCCGGCAAUAUGCAUUCGGGUGCCGAAAUGCACCCGUUUUGCAUCAUUUUUCAUUCCGGAACCGAAUGCUCAAAAACACUCCCAAACAUGUUCUAGGGUAUAAUUAUGAAGAUUGCAUGCGUUCGUUGCGAAAAAAUCCACCCGAGUUUCGCUACCCGGCAAUAUGCAUUCGGGUACCGAAAUGCACCCGUAUUGCAUCAUUUUUCGUUCCGGAACCGAAUGCUCAAAAACACUCCCAAACAUGUUCUAGGGUAUAAUUAGGAAUAUUGCAUGCGUUCGUUGCGAAAAAAUCCACCUGAGUUUCGCUACCCGGAAAUAGUGCAUUCGGGUGCCGAAAUGCACCCGUUUUGCAUCAUUUUUCGUUCCGGAACCGAAUGCUCAAAAACACUCCCAAACAUGUUUUAGGGUAUAAUUAGGAAGAUUGCAUGCGUUCGUUGCGAAAAAAUCCACCCGAGUUUCGCUACCCGGCAAUAUGCAAUCGGGUGCCGAAAUGCACCCGUUUUGCAUCAUUUUUCGUUCCGGAACCGAAUGCUCAAAAACACUCCCAAACAUGUUCUAGGGUAUAAUUAUGAAGAUUGCAUGCGUUCGUUGCGAAAAAAUCCAAUCGAGUUUCGCUACACGGAAAAAGUGCAUUCGGGUGCCGAAAUGCACCCGUUUUGCAUCAUUUUUCGUUCCGGAACCGAAUGCUCAAAAACACUCCCAAACAUGUUUUAGGGUAUAAUUAGGAAGAUUGCAUGCGUUCGUUGCGAAAAAAUCCACCCGAGUUUCGCUACCCGGCAAUAUGCAAUCGGGUGCCGAAAUGCACCCGUUUUGCAUCAUUUUUCGUUCCGGAACCGAAUGCUCAAAAACACUCCCAAACAUGUUCUAGGGUAUAAUUAUGAAGAUUGCAUGCGUUCGUUGCGAAAAAAUCCAAUCGAGUUUCGCUACACGGAAAAAGUGCAUUCGGGUGCCGAAAUGCACCCGUUUUGCAUCAUUUUUCGUUCCGGAACCGAAUGCUCAAAAAGACUCCCAAACAUGUUUUAGGGUAUAAUUAGGAAGAUUGCAUGCGUUCGUUGCGAAAAAAUCCACCCGAGUUUCGCUACCCGGCAAUAUGCAAUCGGGUGCCGAAAUGCACCCGUUUUGCAUCAUUUUUCGUUCCGGAACCGAAUGCUCAAAAACACUCCCAAACAUGUUCUAGGGUAUAAUUAUGAAGAUUGCAUGCGUUCGUUGCGAAAAAAUCCACCCGAGUUUCGCUACCCGGCAAUAUGCAUUCGGGUACCGAAAUGCACCCGUAUUGCAUCAUUUUUCGUUCCGGAACCGAAUGCUCAAAAACACUCCCAAACAUGUUCUAGGGUAUAAUUAGGAAGAUUGCAUGCGUUCGUUGCGAAAAAAUCCACCCGAGUUUCGCUUCCCGGCAAUAUGCAUUCGGGUGCCGAAAUGCACCCGUUUUGCAUCAUUUUUCGUUCCGGAACCGAAUGCUCAAAAACACUCCCAAACAUGUUCUAGGGUAUAAUUAGGAAGAUUGCAUGCGUUCGUUGCGAAAAUAUCCACCCGAGUUUCGCUACCCGGCAAUAUGCAUUCGGGUGCCGAAAUGUACCCGUUUUGCAUCAUUUUUCGUUACGGAACCGAAUGCUCAAAAACACUCCCAAACAUGUUCUAGGGUAUAAUUAUGAAGAUUGCAUGCGUUCGUUGCGAAAAAAUUCACCCGAGUUUCGCUACCCGGAAAUAGUGCAUUCGGGUGCCGAAAUGCACCCGUUUUGCAUCGUUUUUCGUGCCGGAACCGAAUGCUCAAAAACACUCCCAAACAUGUUCUAAGGUCUAGUUAGGAAGAUUAGAUGCGUUCGUUGCGAAAAAAUCCACCCGAGUUUCGCUACGCGGAAAUAGGGCAUUCGGGUGCCGAAAUGCACCCGUUUUGCAUCAUUUUUCGUGCCGGAACCGAAUGCUCAAAUACACUCCCAAACAUGUUCUGGUGUAUACUUAGGAAGAUUGGAUGCGUUCGUUCCGAGAAAAUCCACCCGAGUUUCGCUACCCGGAAAUAGUGCAUUCGGGUGCCGAAAUGCACCCAUUUUGCAUCGUUUUUCGUGCCAGAUCGAAUGCUCAAAAACAUUCCCAAACAUGUUCUAGUGUAUAGUUAGGAAGAUUGCAUGCGUUCGUUGCGAGAAAAUCCACCCGAGUUUCGCUACCCGGAAAUAGUGCAUUCGGGUGCCGAAAUGCACCCGUUUUGCAUCAUUUUUCGUUCCGGAACCGAAUGCUCAAAAACACUACCAAACAUGUUCUAGGGUAUAAUUAUGAAGAUUGCAUGCGUUCGUUGCGAAAAAAUCCAAUCGAGUUUCGCUACACGGAAAAAGUGCAUUCGGGUGCCGAAAUGCACCCGUUUUGCAUCAUUUUUCGUUCCGGAACCGAAUGCUCAAAAACACUCCCAAACAUGUUCUAGGGUAUAAUUAUGAAGAUUGCAUGCGUUCGUUGCGAAAAAAUCCACCCGAGUUUCGCUACACGGAAAAAGUGC